rnacentral:rRNA from 1 species
CCUACGGGGGGCAGCAGUGGGGAAUAUUGCACAAUGGGGGAAACCCUGAUGCAGCGACGCCGCGUGAGUGAAGAAGUAAUUCGUUAUGUAAAGCUCUAUCAGCAGGGAAGAAAAUGACGGUACCUGAGUAAGAAGCCCCGGCUAACUACGUGCCAGCAGCCGCGGUAAUACGUAGGGGGCAAGCGUUAUCCGGAUUUACUGGGUGUAAAGGGAGCGUAGACGGCGGCGCAAGCCAGAUGUGAAAGCCCGGGGCUCAACCCCGGGACUGCAUUUGGAACUGUGCCGCUAGAGUGUCGUAGAGGCGG